UUCUCUUUUCCCAAUUUGAAGAUCAUCAUUUAUUACAAGUUUACUACAAUUUAUUACAAGUUUAUUACAAGUCAUUUAUUACAAUUUUUUCUAUCAUAUAUUUUUGUAACUAAGCCUCAAAUUAAAAAAUUCUCUCUCUCUCUCUCUCUCUCUCUCUCUCUUUCUAUUAAUUCUAAAUAAAUUCCAUCCAAAUUAAUUGAAAAAUGUAGUUUUGUUAUCCUGUUGGCUCCCCAAAAUUUAAUUCGCAGAGUCUUUCUUUUUCAAAAUCCGUUAAUGUAUAUACCCUAACAGAAAUGCUAUACAUUAAAAAAUAACAAAACAAUCUUAUUUUGCAAACAGAAACAGAAUGUUUACAUCUCACUUAUGCGAAUGUAAUCGACAUGAGAUAUCAAAAUUCUGAAUGUCACGUUUGUUAUUUAUAUGUAAACAUAUCUAUGUAUUCUCGGAUAUAUAUCUCGCCUUUAGUAAUCUUGACUAGUCAGUCAUCGUCCGCUUAUCGACAUAUAUAUUUGAUAAUUUAAAUAUGUACAACUUGUCCAACAACUUGUCACACAUCUCGGAAUUUGUAUAUAAGGAUUUUCAUAUUUGAUUGUACUUAAUAUAUGUGAAUUCUCCGCAUAUGGGUCUUAAACCUCCUGGCCUAUCAACUCCAUUUAUUUAUUCUGUAUGUGAUUUUUUGCAACCUUAUCAUCUCUAAUUAAGUUUGCUGAAAAUGGUCCGAAAAAUGAACCAAAACGUUCGUUUUUAAGUCUUUUUGCGCAGAUAAGACUACUACUGAAUAAAUGAAACAAUGGACAAUAUAUCUUCAAAGUUUUCAUCACGCUCGCUCGAUGAGAGACAAGGAGAUCACAGGACAUUUUCAUAUAAAAGAAGAGAAAACGUUUGUCAUAUAAGCGGUAUUUACUGUACAUGUCCUUGAUAUAAGUAUAGUUGAGUUAUAUAUAUAUAUAUAUUAUAUGUGUCGAACAUUAGAGAUACUUCAAUGAGUGAUGUUGCGGAAGACCUUGCUCUUGCUGACAUUGGCCGAGAGUUCCGAAUCGGAUACUCGGAUGUUCGCCAAGUUGUCUCUCUCUCUUUCUCUCUCUUACAAUGGGUAAAUUUUCUAUUAAUAAAACAAAGGUAUUUGUUCCCCACAUUUUGGCAAUGUGGUUUGGAGAAGUAUGACUAGUUUUGAAAAAUAUAUCUAUGAGAAAUGUCUUACAUAAAUAUGCCUUUUACAUAUUAUCGAAUAUGCCGAAGAGGGAAAAUACUCCCAAAUAACAAAAGUAAUCAUUUUGAUGUCAUAUUUGACGUCAAAGUGACCACUUUUGCUACCUGGCAUGAAUUUAAAUUAGUCGCAAAAUUAGAUUUUUACUAUAUAUAAUUUUUACUAUAUAUGGACUGUGCCAAUGUGCGUGUGGAUUAAUAAAAUCAAGCGAGAAGAAAAGUGAAAAGAUUUUUUUCAAUAAUAUGAUUUCAUAUUUUUAAUGAUUAAUCAAUGAUUUUUUUAUAUAAUGAUUUUAUAUUCACACAUAUAUAUGGUGUUUUUAUAGUGAUAUCGCUUUUUUGGACAACAGGCGUGAAUUGGCAAUCCGUUCUUAUAUAGUCAAAGAUUUAAAGCAGCUUAAAAUAUAUCGUGUGUGUGUGUUAGCAUUAUAGAAAACACAAAUAUAUUACAAGCUUUAUGUAUAUAAUUUUUAUUAUAUCGACAUAUGUUUGUAACAAUAAUUCAAAAUAUACAAUACAAAGCGAUUGUAAAUAACGGACAAAUAACUGAUUUCAAAAAAUGUGCUUAAGGGAUUAAAAUAUAUAAUGUCUAACUGAUCAGUUGUCCGUUUUUUCUAAACAGUUCAGUUUAGCUUGUGCUCGCAAUACAUUAUAAAUGUACAAUAUAUUGAUAGUUUUGAAUAUUACGUAUAAAAAGCAUCUCUUAUUGAAAUAUAAUUAUUUUCUUUGAUGUAUGCAAUAGAAGCAUACAAGAUCGUGCAAUACUUUAUGUGAUAACUUAACAAGAUUGAAAAGUGCUUUAUUCCGUAACACUAACAGAAAUAAGAACUGACAAAUCGAGAUAUAUAAAAAAAAUAAUAAAAAAUCUAUUACAAAAUUCUAUCAAAGAUAAAGGAUACGCUUAUUUUACGUAGUUAUGAGAUACAACUAUAAAUUUGAUGAAACUUUUCCAAUUCCAAUGUUUCAACAUUAAAAUAGAUACAAUCUAAUAUUAGAUAGAAAAGUUUCAAUCACAAUAUAGCUUUGUAAGGACAGCGAUAUAAUACAUUAUACAGAUGCACAUAUUAAAAGAGUUCUUACAUAUUUAUAUAUAAUAUAUAUAUAUAAGGCACAUGAAUUACAUAUAAUAUAUUAAAUAUGUGUAUGUGUGUAAUGCCAUUAAUUGCCGUAUAUACAUAGCGAUUAUUUAACUGGAUGGAUCCAGUGAAAUUCAUGAGCCAUCAUUUCACAUUGAUCAGUCUUAUGUUCGUUAAAUCUUUAAUAUAACACUACUACAAAAAGCAAUGAUUGAAGUCUUCAAUAUAAAAGAUACAAUUGUCAUAAACACAUAUAUUAUUUAUUCUAAAGAACUUUCUAAAAUACUUUCAAUAAAAAUGAUGUAGCAUUUAUCAAAAAUCAGCAAACUUGCAAGAGGAUAAAAAUAUAUUUGUAAAGUAUGUAUAUUUGGCAGCUUAGUAUAUUUUAAGGAUAUUCAAAGGAUUUUAUCGAUGGCACAAAUAUAUUAAUCCAACUAUUCUAUUGUAAUAUAUUGUAGUAGCACUUAUUAGACAUAUAGAGAGCGAGAAAAGCUCCAUUAUAAAAAAAUGCAUGUUUAAUAAUGAGCUUUACUAUAUAAGUAGUAAAUUACGAUUAAUUUGUCGAUAAAUGCAAGUGGUAGCAACGUUGAUAUUAAGUAUGGAAUAUAAAUAGAUAUAUGUGUAUAUAAUUCAUUAACGUAAACUUGAGCAUAUGUAAUAUGCAGUAAAACACAGAUAUUAUGUCAUUAUAAACAUUCUAGAUACACGUAUUAAUUUUUGUGUAUCUUAUUAUAAUCUAUAUUGCAUUAUAUAUUAAAUUA